rnacentral:rRNA from 1 species
UGCAAGUCGAACGAUGAAGCCUAGCUUGCUGGGUGGAUUAGUGGCGAACGGGUGAGUAACACGUGAGUAACCUGCCCUUGACUCUGGGAUAAGCACUGGAAACGGUGUCUAAUACCGGAUAUUUCAGCUGGCCGCAUGGUCUGGUUGUGGAAAGAAUUUUGGUCAAGGAUGGACUCGCGGCCUAUCAGGUUGUUGGUGAGGUAAUGGCUCACCAAGCCUACGACGGGUAGCCGGCCUGAGAGGGUGACCGGCCACACUGGGACUGAGACACGGCCCAGACUCCUACGGGAGGCAGCAGUGGGGAAUAUUGCACAAUGGGCGAAAGCCUGAUGCAGCAACGCCGCGUGAGGGACGACGGCCUUCGGGUUGUAAACCUCUUUUAGUAGGGAAGAAGCGAAAGUGACGGUACCUGCAGAAAAAGCACCGGCUAACUACGUGCCAGCAGCCGCGGUAAUACGUAGGGUGCAAGCGUUGUCCGGAAUUAUUGGGCGUAAAGAGCUCGUAGGCGGUUUGUCGCGUCUGCUGUGAAAACUGGAGGCUCAACCUCCAGCCUGCAGUGGGUACGGGCAGACUAGAGUGCGGUAGGGGAGAUUGGAAUUCCUGGUGUAGCGGUGGAAUGCGCAGAUAUCAGGAGGAACACCGAUGGCGAAGGCAGAUCUCUGGGCCGUAACUGACGCUGAGGAGCGAAAGCAUGGGGAGCGAACAGGAUUAGAUACCCUGGUAGUCCAUGCCGUAAACGUUGGGAACUAGAUGUGGGGGCCAUUCCACGGUCUCCGUGUCGCAGCUAACGCAUUAAGUUCCCCGCCUGGGGAGUACGGCCGCAAGGCUAAAACUCAAAGGAAUUGACGGGGGCCCGCACAAGCGGCGGAGCAUGCGGAUUAAUUCGAUGCAACGCGAAGAACCUUACCAAGGCUUGACAUAUACGAGAACGGGCCAGAAAUGGUCAACUCUUUGGACACUCGUAAACAGGUGGUGCAUGGUUGUCGUCAGCUCGUGUCGUGAGAUGUUGGGUUAAGUCCCGCAACGAGCGCAACCCUCGUUCUAUGUUGCCAGCACGUUAUGGUGGGAACUCAUAGGAGACUGCCGGGGUCAACUCGGAGGAAGGUGGGGAUGACGUCAAAUCAUCAUGCCCCUUAUGUCUUGGGCUUCACGCAUGCUACAAUGGCCGGUACAAAGGGCUGCAAUACCGUAAGGUGGAGCGAAUCCCAAAAAGCCGGUCUCAGUUCGGAUUGAGGUCUGCAACUCGACCUCAUGAAGUCGGAGUCGCUAGUAAUCGCAGAUCAGCAA